rnacentral:rRNA from 1 species
UUUAUUGGAGAGUUUGAUCCUGGCUCAGGACGAACGCUGGCGGCGUGCCUAAUACAUGCAAGUCGAGCGAACUGAU